rnacentral:rRNA from 1 species
GGGCGGGGCUGAGGUCUCUUCAAAUCACCAUGGUUGAGUUUAGUUGUUUAGUCGGCGAGAGGUUUCCGAUGUCUCUCACAUUGAAGUAGUGUCAGUGGUCCGAUUGGAAGAUUAUAAUAGUACGAAAGGAUCGCAC